UGGGGAAUAUUGGGCAAUGGGCGCAAGCCUGACCCAGCAACGCCGCGUGAAGGAAGAAGGCUUUCGGGUUGUAAACUUCUUUUAUCAGGGACGAAACAAAUGACGGUACCUGAUGAAUAAGCCACGGCUAACUACGUGCCAGCAGCCGCGGUAAUACGUAGGUGGCAAGCGUUAUCCGGAUUUACUGGGUGUAAAGGGCGUGUAGGCGGGCUUGCAAGUCAGAUGUGAAAUUCCACGGCUCAACCGUGGAACUGCAUUUGAAACUGUAUUUCUUGAGUGCUGGAGAGGCAAUCGGAAUUCCGUGUGUAGCGGUGAAAUGCGUAGAUAUACGGAGGAACACCAGUGGCGAAGGCGGAUUGCUGGACAGUAACUGACGCUGAGGCGCGAAAGCGUGGGGAGCAAACAGGAUUAGAUACCC
rnacentral:rRNA from 1 species